rnacentral:rRNA from 1 species
UACGUAGGGAGCAAGCGUUGUCCGGAUUUACUGGGUGUAAAGGGUGCGUAGGCGGGCUUGCAAGUCAGAAGUGAAAUCUAUGGGCUUAACCCAUAAACUGCUUUUGAAACUGUAAGUCUUGAGUGAAGUAGAGGUAGGCGGAAUUCCCGGUGUAGCGGUGAAAUGCGUAGAGAUAUGGAGGAACACCAGUGGCGAAGGCGGCUUCCUGGUCUGCAACUGACACUGAGGCGCGAAAGCGUGGGGAGCAAACAGG